GACUCUAUAGCUCAGCUGGUUAGAGCCCCGGUCUAGUAAAUUGGAAGUCGCGAGUUCGACUCUCGCUGAAGCCU
rnacentral:tRNA from 1 species